CUUAGCUUCUUUAAUACGCUUCACUUCACUCCAAAACCCUAAUACCCAUCUCCUGCAUCCGGUUCUUCCUUCUUCAUCGAUUGAUCUUCGAAAAACAUAGAUUUCUUCAUCUUCAAUCGCGAGUGGAAGCAACCAGUCCUUAUUAUGCGGCGUAUAAGGUUUUCCGAUUAAAUUCACGUAUUGAAGUAGAUUUUGAGCAAUUGUCAGAGGUGACGUUGUUUGCUGACACUAUUACAGUUCAACAAUUGGGAGUGAUGAUUUGGCAUACCAGAAAGGUCCUUUAGAGAGCUGAUCAUUCUUCCAAUCGAUUGCAAGCAGAUCAUUCCACUUAUUCUGCAGAUCAUUCCACUUAUUCUGCAGGAGUCUGAAUCUUCUUCGAACACAAGAGGUGAUGAGCUUCUUUCAGACUCCUUCCCCUACAAGGAACUCUUGAAUGGGAUCCUAUGAGAAGUUGAAGGAAAGAAUCUGAUCAAAUUGGGCCAUAAUCUGAAGAAAUGUGUUUAAGCUACGACAAGGUAUGAUAAAAAAAUAUAAAAGCUGCUCUUCCUGUCUUUUGUU